rnacentral:lncRNA from 1 species
AAUGAUGUAAUUCAUACCCUUAAGCUUUAACGGAAAAUCAAAAUGGUAAGUAAUGUAAAACCCACUUGGGUUGGUCCGGUGGUAUUGGCUUGGGACCUGGGAGUGUGCUCCUCCUUAAGGUCUCAGGUUCGAUUCUCUCUGGUGCCAAUUUUCGGUGGGCUAAUUUAGCUUCUUCGAAAAAAAGUGGUAAGUAAUGUAAUCAUAAAAAUUGUUAGCCAAGGUUCUUACACUAAAUUCGCUUCUAAUUUUCCCAAACCAAAAUCUAUAUGUGUAUAUAAGUAGGUAUAGGAGUAGUUCAGGGUAGAAUUACAUAGUUUAAUAGAUAAUAGGCUAAGAUGUGAGAAGGAGUGGUAAAGAAAGGAUAAGACGUAGUUUUCCAAACCAAACAGAGAGGAUUAAGAAAUUUAAAUGAAAGACUAUCUUAUGAAUUUUUUUAAUGACGGAGUCUUAUGAUUUCAAUGAGAGUUGAAAUAGUACAUCAGGAACAAAAGUGAAUAUUUGAUUGUUGGUUCAUUGUUUUCAAAACUUGAUUUAAAUAAGUGGAUAUUUGUAAAAGACUCUUGAGUUAUGAAUCUAGAACAAAAGGAAGAACAAAACUUGAUUUAAAUAAGUGGAUUUUUGGAUGGAAUCUUAUGAUUUCAAUGAGUUGAAAUAGUACCACUUAAAUGCAUAAGCAUUCAAUUGUAUAAUUACGCAAUACAAAACUUGAAUCGUAAAAGAUUGAAUAUUAAUCAGUUAUGUAAUGAGCAAAUCAACAAUUAUAAUACUACUAAUCACUAAAGUUUGCUUAAGUAUAUAAUGACGUGAGGAAUCCCACAUCUAUAAGAUUAGGCCUAAUACACUUCAUAACCAUUAUUAUGUUCAAUAUUUUUAAUCCAACCAAUACUUCAAUUCAAUCCUACAAAGGGUCAGAAAAUGAAGCUCAAGACCUAUUUUUAGAAAUAAUAGAAUGAAUUAUGCAUGAGGAAUUAGAAAAACCAAUGCAAUAAUUCAAAUAACUAUUUUAGGACUAUUUGAGGUAUGUUAAAAAAGAUGAUGACAAUUUGAAUCGGUAUAUAUAUAAAAAAUUGAACAUUCAUGUUGCUGGACUCUCAUGCAAGCCAUACAACAUUCCCGUGAUACUGACCAACAUUAGAACCCGAAGUUAAAGACUUAGCAAUCCCUGACAGCUGGGGGUUUGUAAUCUCUUUACAAGAUGAAAAUAAUUUGAUCCAUUGGAUUGUAAUUUAUAUCACAUUGUUUCCUUAUAGUUAACAUAAAUUGUGAAAUGAGGAGUGCUAGCAACACACUCUUUAACAAACACACUCUAACACACUCUCUUCUAUUGGUUAAAAUUUAUAUGGGUCCCAUAAAAGUUAUAUGGGUCCACAUUUUUUUAUGGGACUCAUGUGAAUUUCAACCAAUAAAAGAGAGUGUGUUGGAGUGUGUUUGUUAAAGAGUGUGUUGCUAGCAUUAUUCAUUGUGAAAUUGGGCUGACUCUUUUAUUUUGUUUUUGUCUUCACUUAUUUAUCAAGAUGGCUGGAGUAUUAGC